ACUCAAAGGAAUAGACGGGGACCCGCACAAGCAGUGGAGUAUGUGGUUUAAUUCGAAGCAACGCGAAGAACCUUACCAGGGCUUGACAUCUCCUGCAUACCAUAGAGAUAUGGGAAGCCCCUUGGGGCAGGAAGACAGGUGGUGCAUGGUUGUCGUCAGCUCGUGUCGUGAGAUGUUGGGUUAAGUCCCGCAACGAGCGCAACCCUUAUUGUCAGUUGCCAUCAUUUAGUUGGGCACUCUGGCGAGACUGCCGGUGACAAAUCGGAGGAAGGUGGGGAUGACGUCAAAUCAUCAUGCCCCUUAUGUCCUGGGCUACACACGUACUACAAUGGACGAUACAGCAGGGAGCGAAGGAGCGAUCUGGAGCGAAUCCUUAAAAACGUCCUCAGUUCGGAUCGGAGGCUGAAACCCGCCUCCGUGAAGUCGGAAUUGCUAGUAAUGGCAGGUCAGCAUACUGCCGUGAAUACGUUCCCGGGUCUUGUACACACCGCCCGU
rnacentral:rRNA from 1 species